CACAAAGAAAUGAGCAGAGAACACGAAGCACUACUACACAUAGCUAGAAUAUCUUAGGUAGAUUCCAUCUAUAUUGCCUUUAAUGUCGUUUUGAAUAAUUAUUAACAAGAAAAGCAAAAAGUGAAAGCAAAUAACAAAUGCAAAAUAAAAGUUGUGCUUCUUCAAAGCAUAUGCUUAGAAGAUCCUCUCCUCGACAUCAUUAUUCCUCCUCCGAAAAACCCACAUAAAACGCCAUGUUUUCACCCUUCAAGCCCUUGGAGGGAUAUGGGGUUGGAAUAUAUAUAUAUAUAGGUAUAUCCUCUCUGUAACAUAGUUUUCUAUCCCCCCCAUUUGGUCUGAUCGGUCCGACGUUGUUCCCCGGCCACCGGCAAAGGCGGGGAGGAUGAGGAAAAUGAAGAGAAGGGUUAGUUUUUUCUAUCCCUCCCAUUUGGUCUGAUCGGUCCGACGUUGUUCCCUGGCCACCGGCAAAGGAGGGAGGAUGAGGAAAAUGAAGAGAAGGGUUAGUUGUAUGUGGAAGUAAGGUCAUGAUGGUUUUAAAACCAUUAGGGCAACUAUGAUCCUUUGGCAAUGUAUCAGUAUGAAUAAUAUUGCUUUAUGCAGUUCAUGUUACCAUGAUAAUGGGGAAUAUAUGUUUUAUAUGUGAUCUUUAAAUUUGAUUUUGUUA